ensembl:lncRNA
CCGGGUUCGAAUCCUGAUGCUGCCUUUGUAAACCUUUAGCCUUGAAUAUUUAAAGUCAUGUGGUUUGUCUCACCACGUUAAAACAGAAAGUGAAAGUAAACUUGUUCAGCUUACAUCAUGUUGACAUUGGAGGUGACUUCGGGAAAUCCUGAAAGUCCCUGGCUAUUCUUCCCUCCUCUACAGCACCGCCCACAGAAGCAUUAAUGCUAUAAAGCAUUGGAACAUGCAGACUGGAUCGUCCAGAACAUAACCUCAACACUGUGAAGAAGGAGGAAUGCAUGGGCUUCACACACAGUCAUCUCAGUGAAUCAAGUUCUGGAGGGACAGAGACAUCAUGCUCUAAGAGCCACACGGGGAGGAGGCACGGCCAACACAUUAAUCACUGACUAGGACUUGUCGACGGGACGUGUCGAGUUUCUGGUGCUCCAUUACAGAGUUAACACUGAGGAUCUACAGAGAUUAGAAACGUGGCACCAUGCAAUCUGUUACGUUUCUCACCGUGACCAUUCUGCUCACGGUCAAUGCAGGUGCAGAUCAGAUGACACUGAGCACUCUACAGUCGAUGAAUGUAGUGUGUGGUGGGACCGUCAAACUGCCAUGCAGUAUCGACAAGAACGUCACAGUGAUGAACUUCCAUUGGACAGAUGGAAAAGAAAUAAUCUGUGAUUAUAAGGGCACUGUGAAGGGAGAGUCUCAAAAUAUCUCCUGCGAAUACACAGAUAAUGAAAGUUUAGUGCUGACCAUUAAAUAUGUACUACCAAGCAAUAGCGGCAUCUACCACUGUCUCCUUUUCACCAAUUCAGCCCACACAUUGAACACAACCACCCUACAAGUCUCAGACUGCAAUGAGCGAGUGAAUGCUCAGGAGCAGAACCAGAACUGGAAACAACCUCUAAACCAUGCCUGUGCUUCAGAAAACAAAUGGAUAAACCUGCUGGUUUCAUUAACAGCACUUGUAUCGCUCAUUUUGGGUUCAGGUAUAUAAAUGAAAGUUGCAACGAAACUCAAAGAAACAUUCAGAAAAAUCAGGAGGUCCGCUCAUUGAUUGGAAAGUGUAGAUUAGAAAGCGUAUGGAAACAUUAUGUAAGCGAUUUCUGUGGCUUUUAAAUCUCAGGAACUGUUUAACUCUCAGAAAUGAGAAAGAUCGUUGGACUGAGAAGGAUUUCAAAUGGCCGAAGACAAUGAUGAUGAUGAUGAUGGUGAUGAUUAUGAUGAUGGAUGUUUUAUACAGAGACAGGUGAUCAAACUUUCAGCACUGACCUCCGAAUGCAUGGAACGCAUCUGCAUAAAGCUCGCUUGCAAUGUUUUCGCCUUUAGAGACUUCAGAGGACAAAAUAUCAGCUGUGAAUGAUCUUGUGAAAAGCCUCGACAUUUGGGAUCUGCACAAAACACUGAUGUUCUUGGGAAACAAACAAAUAAAUAAAUAAAUACAAUUUGUUAAAUUCACCAAUUAGUUCAGUGUAUAGAAGAGGUACAAGAUGCUGUUAGAUGCUUAAGUAACAACUGACAUGUCAUUAAAGGACAGCUAUUUAAUGGUAUGCUCUUAGAGAAUGUCAAGCUGUACACAGAUAAUGUGACGUAUGAACGAAAUCCUGUGAUGAAGAAAAAAAUGUGAUGAAAAGUGAAGAAUGAUUGAGGCAUUCCUUUUUUAAUUUUUUAUUUGAUUUUGAUGUGUUUGUACUUUGGAGCAUUACAUAAAUACUUCACACUUUUAUCCCCCCCCCCUUCUCUCUCUCUCUCUCUCUCUCUCUCUCUCUCUCUCUCUCUCUCUCUCUCUCUCUCUCUUUAUGCAUAACAUACAGGAAAAUAAGGGACUCUCUUAAUGACUAACUUUGAGUAUCGAUCACAGUUCUGUUUAAUGGUGUAGCCUUUAUGGCUCUGUAUUUUAUCAGAUAAAUCUAACUGCAUGCAACACACACACACACACACACACACACACACACACACACACACACACACACACACACACACACACACACACAGUUUUUGUUUGUUUGUUUUUUAUUUCAUUUGAAGAUCAUUACUAUUCUUCAGAAUAUUAAAAUAAAUAUAAUUUCAUAGAAAUGUUGGGGUUUAUGUGUCAUAUGUUCUAGGAUGUUUUAGUUAUUUAACACUGCCAUCUCAUGGUCAUGUAGUGGACCAUCAUGAUAAAUCAAUGAAAAAUAUUCAAACAGGAGGC